UCUCCGUAGGGGAACCUGCGGAGGGAUCAUUACACAAUACAAUAUGAAGGCUGUCCGCAGCUGGAGUAUUUUAUUACCCUUGUCUUUUGCGCACUUGUUGUUUCCUGGGCGGGUUCGCUCGCCACCAGGACCACCAAAUAAACCUUUUUUAUGCAGUUGCAAUCAGCGUCAGUACAAACAAUGUAAAUCAUUUACAACUUUCAACAACGGAUCUCUUGGUUCUGGCAUCGAUGAAGAACGCAGCGAAAUGCGAUACGUAGUGUGAAUUGCAGAAUUCAGUGAAUCAUCGAAUCUUUGAACGCACAUUGCGCCCUUUGGUAUUCCAAAGGGCAUGCCUGUUCGAGCGUCAUUUGUACCCUCAAGCUUUGCUUGGUGUUGGGCGUUUUUGUCUUUGGUCGCCCAAAGACUCGCCUUAAAGUGAUUGGCAGCCGGCCUUUCUGGUUUCGCAGCGCAGCACAUUUUUGCGCUUGCCAUCAGCAAAACGGCAAUCCAUCAAGCCUCCUUCUCACGUUUGACCUCGGAUCAGGUAGGGAUGCCCGCGGAACUUAA
rnacentral:rRNA from 1 species